rnacentral:rRNA from 1 species
AGGAUGCGAGCGUUAUCCGGAAUGAUUGGGCGUAAAGGGUGCGCAGGCGGAACCAUAAGUCUGAAGUAAAAGCCAUCGGCUCAACCGCUGUAAGCUUUGGAAACUGUGGAUCUGGAGUGCAGGAGAGGACAGUGGAAUUCCAUGUGUAGCGGUAAAAUGCGUAGAUAUAUGGAGGAACACCAGUGGCGAAGGCGGCUGUCUGGCCUGUAACUGACGCUGAGGCACGAAAGCGUGGGGAGCAAA